rnacentral:tmRNA from 1 species
GGGGGUGUACUGGUUUCGACGGGGAUGAGGAAGCGGGAUAAGCGGGCGGAUGCGCCUAACAUCCUUAAAAUGGGCAACUUAUAAAUUAAAGAACAACAACACUGUUGCUGUCGCUGCCUAACUAAAGGCGGCCGUCUGAACCGGAGAGGCCACAGGCCGGGGAAGGCGUCGUUGAUGUGGCGUCCGUGAGUACGGAAAGAGUUGACCGUGCCACGCAUCAUGACUCUCACCUGCCUAUCAGGCGUGAUGGCUUGCCUGAUGGAAGGGGAACGAGACGGGAGAGCCGUCUGAAAUAACCAUCUGCGCCCGGAGAAAGUCCCGUGAAAUUGUUUUCGGACGGGGGUUCGAUUCCCCCCACCUCCACCA